CGCGUAGGCGGGAUAACAAGUCAGGUGUGAAAUCCGGGGGCUCAACCCUCGAACUGCACUUGAAACUGUUAUUCUUGAGUGAUGGAGAGGCAAGUGGAAUUCCUAGUGUAGCGGUGAAAUGCGUAGAUAUUAGGAGGAACACCAGUGGCGAAGGCGACUUGCUGGACAUUAACUGACGCUGAGGCGCGAAAGCGUGGGGAGCAAACA
rnacentral:rRNA from 1 species